ACGGAAGGCAGCAGUGGGGAAUAUUGGGCAAUGGGCGCAAGCCUGACCUAGCAACGCCGCGUGAAGGAAGAAGGUUUUCGGAUUGUAAACUUCUGUCCUUGGUGACGAACACAAUGACGGUAACCAAGGAGGAAGCCCCGGCUAACUACGUGCCAGCAGCCGCGGUAAUACGUAGGGGGCAAGCGUUGUCCGGAAUGACUGGGCGUAAAGGGCGUGUAGGCGGCCUGAUAAGUCUGGAGUGAAAGUCCUGCUUUUAAGGUGGGAAUUGCUUUGGAGACUGCAGAGCUUGAGUACGGAAGAGGUAAGUGGAAUUCCCGGUGUAGCGGUGAAAUGCGUAGAGAUCGGGAGGAACACCAGUGGCGAAGGCGACUUACUGGGCCGUAACUGACGCUGAGGCGCGAAAGCGUGGGGAGCGAACAGGAUUAGAUACCCUGGUA
rnacentral:rRNA from 1 species